rnacentral:misc_RNA from 1 species
GAUGAAGAACGUAGCGAAAUGCGAUAAGUAAUGUGAAUUGCAGAAUUCAGUGAAUCAUCGAAUCUUUGAACGCACAUUGCGCCCGCCAGUAUUCUGGCGGGCAUGCCUGUUCGUGCGUCAUUUCAACCCUCAAGACCCCUUCGGGGGACUUGGUGUUGGGGACCGGCACAGGGGCCUGCCUGCUUGUCUUGCAGCGCCCUCGCCGCCCCCGAAAUGAAUUGGCGGCCUCGUCGCGGCCUCCCCUGCGUAGUAGCACAAACCUCGCAACGGGAACGUGACGGCGGCCACUGCCGUAAAACAACCCAAUUUUAUUAGAGUUGACCUCGAAUCAGGUAGGAAUACCCGCUGAACUUAAGCAUAUCAAUAAGCGGAGGA